GUGAAUUCGGGAGAAUAGACAAUCGGGUCAAAGUCCCGAACGGUACCGCCGCUGUUGGUGCGUAGGCAAUGUUUUAUUGAUGCAAAUCAGCCAUUGGGAAACUGAGAAGGCAAAACAUUCGCUGUUGAAGCACAAGUCAGAAGACCUGCUUGAGU
rnacentral:ncRNA from 1 species